ensembl:lncRNA
AUGUGGGUAGAGGGAGGACGCGGGAGACGGAUCGGGUGUGUUGUGAUUGCUGUGGGGGGAACUGAAAGUCCAGCUUGGCCCACAUGUGGCUCCGAACAGCGCACUGAGACCACAAGGUGCUGCCCUAUAAUACGUCGAGAGUGCAAGAACUUCAGCAACACGGCAGAGGUUCCAGAGAAAGGGUGGAAAGCGGUAAUAUUAUCAUUUUGUAAAGCAUGCACAUGCGAAUGUGGGGUGAGCGAUUAAAUAAAGUACAUUACCGGGUAGCCAACACGUCCCGGUGAGCCCUGGUAGGAUUAAUAUUAUCAGUUCCUUAGCAAUUAUAAUAUUUCCACAUGCUGAGUGAUGAUAUGAAAUGCUGAUUUUAAUAAGUAAGAAUUGCACAGCAAUUAAUUGAACUGGAUAUUGCUUUAAAAAUAUAUGCAAUAUGAAACACAAAACUGGCACUUGCACUAGAAUGUGCUAGAAUGUUUGAUUCUCUGUUGAAGGUUACACAAAUGUAAGAGAAAAUGUCUAGGUAAUUUUUAUACUUUCUUCUCUUUUCUGUUUGUUAACCAGGAUAUGUCUGCAUAUCAGAAUGCAAGUCUUCAGCUUCAUUUGCCAUACUUUCUCUGGGAAAUGGUGAGAUUAAGAUUAAAUCAGAUCACAGACCUUUUGUUACUGUGACUGUCACUGCAUUCUUUAAAUAGUCUUUAAAUAAGUUACAUAUAUAACACAUUUUUUCACUAAAUGUGAUGUGUUAGAAACAAACAGAUUAUUUCCCCUGAUAUAAGCACCCAAAAGUUUGUGUAGAACAGCCUUCACGUUUUUGAAAUGAAAUGAAAUAGCAAAAAUUUAUUUAUAUCCAAAGCAAAAAGGUCAGAUGUUGGUGUUUAAAUGGCUGUAGAGCAUAGCUGUAAUGAUCAAUGAUCAUUACAGAUUUAAGACUAAUAGAACUAUUUUCAAAUUGGUGAUGUUUAUAUUUUUAAUAAUAUUCUUUUACAUGUGACAUUUUUAUUGAGGAUGUUAUUUCUUGUUGAGGUGAGUGUAAUCAGAAUGGUGGCAGUGAAUAUUAUUUUACUACAUAAACGUCCUUAUUUUGUACAGUAGAUUAACUGAGGAGCCUUUGAGACCAAGAACUUUGUUAGAAUAAUGAUGAUGCGUUACUAUCUAUAUGACAAUAAAAAUCCUUAAAUCACAUUCUAUACUUUACCA